rnacentral:rRNA from 1 species
AGACCACCAGCUAAGGUCCCAAAAUAUAUGUUAAGUGGAAAAGGAUGUGGCGUUGCCCAGACAACUAGGAUGUUGGCUUAGAAGCAGCCAUCAUUUAAAGAGUGCGUAAUAGCUCACUAGUCGAGUGACACUGCGCCGAAAAUGUACCGGGGCUAAACAUAUUACCGAAGCUGUGGAUUGUCCUUUGGACAAUGGUAGGAGAGCGUUCUAAGGGCGUUGAAGCAUGAUCGUAAGGACAUGUGGAGCGCUUAGAAGUGAGAAUGCCGGUGUGAGUAGCGAAAGACGGGUGAGAAUCCCGUCCACCGAUUGACUAAGGUUUCCAGAGGAAGGCUCGUCCGCUCUGGGUUAGUCGGGUCCUAAGCUGAGGCCGACAGGCGUAGGCGAUGGAUAACAGGUUGAUAUUCCUGUACCACCUAUAAUCGUUUUAAUCGAUGGGGGGACGCAGUAGGAUAGGCGAAGCGUGCGAUUGGAUUGCACGUCUAAGCAGUAAGGCUGAGUAUUAGGCAAAUCCGGUACUCGUU